AGGGACUGAAGGAACAUUCCCUCCGCCGCCGGCCGGCGCCGGAGAAAUGCCACCGGAGAGAGCCGAUCCACGGCGGCGGCGGGACGAGGCGGUGUAGACCAGCUUGCCUCAGGCCCCGCCAACCGAGAAGGCGACGAGAAGUGGACUGGUUCGGGACAGGUUGGCCUUGAACUCUUUCUUCCGUGUAGGGUGGUGCAACUUCCACCGUCCCGUAUCCUUCGCCGCCGCCCGCACCGCCACCGCUGCUGUUAAUACUAACAGUAGAACGGGGGAAGAGUACGGUCGCGGGCCGAGGCUGGGAGGGCACUGACAUGAUUUAAUGCCGAUUUGCCUCCUGCAGUGUGUAAAUAGGCGGGGGUAACUCUCUCUCUCUCUCCCUCUCUUUCUCUUAUCUCUCUCUCUCUCUCUUGUUCUUAUUCGCCAGGACUUUUCCAAGUAGAUGCGGGAGAUCUUCGUGUCCAAGGUGGGCGUUCUCGUGAGACGAAAAGAUCACAUCUUGCCGUUCGAGCAAGCGGCCUUCCCGCCCAGUUGGCGCCCCAUCUAUCAGCCUCUCAGGCACCUGAUCAAUGGAGAUUCACCAGGAAGAGCAGUAAAUGAAGGCAGACCGUCCAGCGGAAAACAAUCUCACGCAACGACCCCCAGAGAGAUAGAGAUAUAUAGAUACAUAGAUAAAUAGAUAGCCGCAGAGAGAGAGAG
rnacentral:lncRNA from 1 species